GCAGCCCUGGCACGAGCAGGAGAAGAGCUGGGCAGUGCUGAGCUCUGCAGAGCUCAGCAGCCCCUCAACCCAGGCACAGCUCCAUGCAAAUGCAGGCUAGCCCCCUGACCAGGCUCUGUGCAGCUGGGGAGGGUUAUUCUGGAUGUAUAAAAACUAUAAUAUAAAACUAUAAUACCUCAGGGGGGAAAACUGCCACCCACUUGUCCUCAAAUCCCAGCCUCAGUGGGGCUGCUGGACCUCAGGGGAGUUAUGCAUUUUCUGUCUUCAUGUUCCUCUGUCCCUUGUCCUUGAUGGUGCUCCUGACAGCCCUGGAAUGGUUUUAUUGUGAUAUCUGUGCUCAGAAUUCCUUUGCUCACUUGCAGCAGGUCUGUGUGAGCAAAGAACUGUGGAGCUGUGCUCCAGGACAGGCUGGCACUGCUGGUGCCAGGAGCUGUGUUGGUUCUGCUUCCCCCACACGUGACCCACAGAGCUGAAAGGAAAUGCUCAGGGCGAGGAUUAAAUUUAGAUUUUUAUCCAAGUGAAAACUUUGUCAUCUCAGCAGAUGUUAUGUGCUCCAAAGCAUUAAAAUCGCUGUUACUCGGAGGAGAGAAGAGGAAAAUGGAUCUUUUAAUCUCUGUUCAGAGCCAGCAAUACGCUUUGUCUUCAGUUAAUAUCAGGCUAACUUUCCAGGCAAAAGCAAAACCAAGUUGAAUUUGGCUAAAAGUUGACCUCAAAAGUAUGGACUGCCUUAAAGUUUGAACUCUUUUGUGUUGUUUGACAAAUUAUUUUUAACGAGUAAUUUUGGUAUUUUUAUAGCAAGAUUUCUCAUUUCAGAAGUGUGUAUAUUUUGAUAGUACUGCAUUUUUCCUUUUAAUUUCAGUGGCGUUUAAAAAUUAAUGUUUUUUAAAAAUAUACUUCUGCUUAAUAUCUUUCCAGUUGUUUUCCAAGUUGUUUAUCUCCACUCUCCAGAGAACUCAGUGGUUCUGAACUGGUAUGAGUUGCUGAAGAUUAGAUUGCUCAGUGUAAAAAAUUCUGGAGCUCUCUGGGGUGCUUCAGCCAAAAUGUGAUCAACACUUAAAAAUGCUUAAAGACCAACCACCCUGGAACUUCUUGGGAUGAUGCUCUGACACUGUCUGACUCUGCACUGAUAGGUCUCAUCACCCACCACGAACCCUGACCCUGCAGUCAUGGACUGUGUAUGAAAUGGAGAGAAAAAAACCCAGAGAAUGUAGGGCUGCAAUUCAUAAUAACUUCCAAAAUAAGUUAAAGUCCCAGAGCAACCCAUUUAAUGAGGAACUGAGCUGAAAUACACUACAGUGGAAUUGCUGACGUUCUGAUGUUGUUCCCACAGAGCCCAUUAAACCUCUUUAUGUAACAUUGCUGCAGCCACACGUUGCUGAAGAUUUCCUCAUUGUGCAUUUUGCUCGAUGGUUUCACGGAUUUUAAUAAUUCUUCUUUUUGUACUUUCAAUUUAAAAAAGGGAAAAUCACAGUUCAACAACUUAAUAAGGGGCAAGUGAAAUGUCUCAUUUCUUUUGAAGGCAAAUUCUGGUGUUUCGGGUUUUAGCAGCGCAAUUCCACCGCAGAAAAUAAAAAGCAGUGUUUGUUGCCAGCUCUGAGAAGCUGAGCAAUAAGAAAACUGUCAAAAGGAAAACAUUCAGCACAGCAUUCCCCAGCAAACCUAUGAAAGUUGCCACAGCCUGUUUAUUGAAAGGAACGGCUUUAGCUUUGCACUGUUGCAUGGGGAAGUGGUGGCCAUGGCUCUUUGGGACCAGAGAUUUUGAAUGGGAAAUCGAAGGCCGUGCAUCUUCAGCAGGGAUUUUGGAUGGAAAACUGAUGGCUGUGGCUCUUUGGGUGGGAUUUUGAAAGGCACAAUUACACCAGGCUGGAAUUAGUGUGUGCUGCUCCCCAAAAGGCUGGAGGGGGAGUGGCUGCUGUGUGGGUGCUCUGCUGCCUUUGAGCACCCCAAUAACACGUCUGUGCUGCUGCUGGAGGUGGGGACUGGUGCACAGUUUCUUAAUCACUCUCUGACAAACACUGUUAAGCCUCAUUAAUGCAAAUUACUAGAUGAUCUAUUUUUGUAGAGUCUCAGUCCCAUCACUUGAACUUGCACUACACAGCAACUUUAGAAAAAUCAAUUUUUAGUCCUUACUAGAAAUUGAUUUAUGGCUUUUUCUGCUUGGAGCUGCUGGGACCUCGAGCCCUGAUCAACCAGGCUGCACGUUCCCCUGCGUGCCCCUGUGGGGUAGAAAGGGAACACUGACAUGGGGGAAGAGUGUCUAAAAGAAAAAUUAGCCUUGAGAGUUCUUUCUGAAAGGGUGUGUAAAAUCUUACAGAAUCACGGGGUUGGAAAAGCUCUCUAAGGCUAUCGAGUUCCCCCAGCACAGCCAAGGCCACCAUUGACCCAUGUUCCCAAGUGCCACAUCCACAUGGAUUUUAAUUCCCCACAGGGAUGGGCACUCCACCACUGCCCUGGGCAGCCCUUUGGAUGGAGAAAAGUUUCCAAAUAUCCAGAUGUGCAAAAAGAAGUGCUGUGUUUCCUUUGGAGGGAUGUGCUGAUGAAUUACCAUCACAGGCAGUGGAGAGGGACAGGUUUCCUUUGAACCAGGUGAUGUGGGCGGCCUUCAGAAUCACUGAAAAUAACAGAACAACUUGAAAACAAGAAGAAAUACCUUGAACUGUGCUUAUUCUCUUACCCUGUGCCACCAUGAAGCUUUUUAACAUGUUCCCAAAACUGGGCUGGCAGCAGACGAGUCUGUCAGUGAACAUGCAGAGGUAGAAUCACAGAAUCCUGGAAAAGACCUUUGAGACAUCAAAUCCAACUAUCAACACAUAUUUACCACGAAACCAUGUCCUCAAGUGACAUAGCCACAUGUUUUUUGAACACUUCCCAAGAUGGAGACUCUACCAAUGCCCUGGGCAGCCUGUGCCAAUGUUUUAUGACCCUUUCUGUGAAAAAAAAUGUUGUCUAAUAUCUCAUCUAAACCCCUCCUGGCACAGCUUGGAGCCAUUUCCUCCUGUGCCUGCAGCCCAUGCUCUGCUGAAGCAUUACUGGCUGGGGGUGAUUGUCCCCUGGGAUUCCUUGAUAAAUAAGGAAAAACCCCUGGGGUUUUCCUCUCUGGGUGGCUGAGGUGGAAGGAGGAUUUUCCUGGUCAUGCUCUGCCUGCUCCAAGGAUCAGUUCACACCUGACCCGGUUCUGCCUUGCUGUGGUUCCACUGAGUGCAGGAAUGGGAUUCUGAGGGAGGAAAUAUCAAAAAAUUAGAAGUUAAGGCUUGGUUGUGCCUGUUGCACCCUCUUUGAGGACCUUGAAGCAAGACACAGACACUCCAGACUGUUUCCUCUUCCUACUCCGCAUGUUCCUUGUUUCCCAAAGGCAGUGGGUGAGCAUGUGCAGGAUGUGGCAGCACAUGCAGUAAUUUCUCUUAGGCUGGAGUUUCAUUAUUAAGGCUUUCAGUGCAUACCAACAUCUCCCCAUUGUUACUGGUCCCCUCUGGAGUAAGAGGGAGGCUCUCCCAGGAGGAGGCAGCAGCAGCUGCAGAGCUGUGGAGUCUGUCAGCAAGUGGCAGAGGGGACCUGAGACAUGGACAGGAGCAGUCAUUGCCUGCUGUGCCUUCCCAGUUUGAAGACUUUCCCACUGGUCAGAACUGGAAGAUCUAACCUAGCACUCCACAUCCUGCUAAUCUGUGCAGACCCCCCAAAAAUCUGGACUUUCCCUGAGGGUAGACAAUUGCAGCAUCACUCACAAGAUGUGAUUUGGGAACUUUCCAGGAGAAAUAAGAAUUUUUCAUCGUGGUGAUAUGCAGCGUGACCUUCAACUCUGAUCACCCUAAAAUAAAGUUUGUCUGAACUUUCCCA